rnacentral:rRNA from 1 species
GACGAACGCUGGCGGCGUGCUUAACACAUGCAAGUCGAACGGAAAGGCCCUGCUUGCAGGGUACUCGAGUGGCGAACGGGUGAGUAACACGUGGGUGAUCUGCCCUGCACUUCGGGAUAAGCCUGGGAAACUGGGUCUAAUACCGGAUAGGAGCCAUUUUUAGUGUGAUGGUUGGAAAGUUUUUUCGGUGUAGGAUGAGCUCGCGGCCUAUCAGCUUGUUGGUGGGGUAAUGGCCUACCAAGGCGGCGACGGGUAGCCGGCCUGAGAGGGUGGACGGCCACAUUGGGACUGAGGUACGGCCCAGACACCUACGGGAGGCAGCGGUGGGGAAUAUUGCACAAUGGGCGCAAGCCUGAUGCAGCGACGCCGCGGGGGGGAUGACGGCCUUCGGGUUGUAAACUCCUUUCGCUAGGGACGAAGCUUUUUGUGACGGUACCUAGAUAAGAAGCACCGGCUAACUACGUG